UACGUAGGGUGCAAGCGUUGUCCGGAAUUAUUGGGCGUAAAGAGCUCGUAGGCGGUUUGUUGCGUCGGCUGUGAAAUCCCGAGGCUCAACCUCGGGUCUGCAGUCGAUACGAGCAAACUAGAGUGUUGCAGGGGGAGACUGGAAUUCCUGGUGUAGCGGUGAAAUGCGCAGAUAUCAGGAGGAACACCGGUGGCGAAGGCGGGUCUCUGGGCAACAACUGACGUGGAGGAGCGGAAAGCGUGGGGGAGCGAACAGG
rnacentral:rRNA from 1 species